AGAGUUUGAUCCUGAGCUCAGGAUAAACGCUGGCGGCAUGCCUAAUACAUGCAAGUGGAACGAGUCAUUUCGGUGAUUCGUCGCGAACGGGUGAGUAACACGUAGAUAACCUACCUAAUAGAGGGGGAUAACCAUUGGAAACGAUGGAUAAUACCGCAUAGAUACUCCAUAGGCAUCUAAGGAAGUAGAAAGGAGCAAUUGCUCCGCUAGUAGAUGGAUCUGCGGCGCAUUAGCUAGUUGGUGAGGUAACGGCCCACCAAGGCGAUGAUGCGUAGCCGGCCUGAGAGGGUGAACGGCCACAUUGGGACUGAGACACGGCCCAGACUCCUACGGAGAGGCAGCAGUAGGGAAUUUUCGGCAAUGGGGGGAACCCUGACCGAGCAAUGCCGCGUGAAGGAAGAAGGUUUUCGGAUGGUAAACUUCUGUUGUAUAGGAAGAAUAGUAUAUGGAGUGGAAAGCCAUAUAUGUGACGGUACUAUACUAUAAAGCCACGGCUAACUACGUGCCAGCAGCCGCGGUAAUACGUAGGUGGCAAGCGUUAUCCGGAAUUAUUGGGCGUAAAGAGUGAGCAGGCGGUUAAGAAAGUCUAAGAUCAAAAGCUAUAGCUUAACGAUAGUUUGUUUUAGAAACUCCUUGACUACAGUACGGUAGAGGUAAGCGGAAUUCCAUGUGUAGCGGUGAAAUGCGCAGAUAUAUGGAGGAACACCAGUGGCGAAGGCGGCUUACUAGACCGGGACUGACGCUGAGUCACGAAAGCGUGGGUAGCAACUAGGAUUAGAUACCCUAGUAGUCCACGCUGUAAACGAUGAGUACUAAGUGUUGGAGAAAUUCAGUGCUGAAGCAAACGCAUUAAGUACUCCGCCUGAGAAGUACGUUCGCAAGAAUGAAACUUAAAGGAAUUGACGGGGGCCCGCACAAGCGGUGGAGCAUGUGGUUUAAUUCGACGCAACACGAAGAACCUUACCAGGACUUGACAUCCGAUUAAAGACUCUAGAGAUAGAGGGAUAGUUAUAGUCGAGACAGGUGGUGCAUGGUUGUCGUCAGCUCGUGUCGUGAGAUGUUUGGUUAAGUCCAGCAACGAGCGCAACCCUUGUUCUCAGUUACCAUCAUUAAGUUGGGGACUCUGAGAAGACUGCCGAUGUAAAUCGGGGGAAGGUAGGGAUGACGUCAAAUCAUCAUGCCCCUUACGUCCUGGGCUACACACGUGCUACAAUGGACGGUACAAAGAGAAGCAAGACAGUGAUGUGGAGCAAACCUCAAAAAGCCGUUCUCAGUUCGGAUUGAAGUCUGCAACUCGACUUCAUGAAGCCGGAAUCGCUAGUAAUCGCGAAUCAGCAAAGUCGCGGUGAAUACGUUCCCGGGCCUUGACACACCGCCCGUC
rnacentral:rRNA from 1 species